rnacentral:snRNA from 1 species
GAGUGAUUUCAGAUCUUUUUGUAUUUGUCUAGCAGGCUUUCUGCUUUAGUGGAAAGCCUUU